rnacentral:rRNA from 1 species
UCUGACAUGGCUUCAGUAUCCUUAAAACCAUAUCCCAUCUGAUCUUGGAAUGUAAACAGGGCCAGGCCUACUUAAUACUGAGAUUGGGGUUUGCCAGGGAAGAACAAGUGAUGUCAGAG